GACCUAACCCGUUUGGCAUUGCCGGACGGUAUGGACGGGGCGACGGAUAAGGCACAAAGAACCCAUCGUGGGGUUGCCUUAUCCGCCAUAUCGGGAAACCGGUAUGUCCGCGCAAGCGGA
rnacentral:sRNA from 1 species